GAUUAUGCCUGAACGCCUCUAAGGUCGUAUCCGAGCUGGAUGAGAACAAUAGCAAAGGGGUCACCGUGUCGCUAGGCAAAUACCACUUGAUAGUCAUUCGCCUUGCGUGUUUGACGAAUAGUUUGAUGCCUAAUUGCCUUGCAAUAUAGCGAGGAUGGGAGGCGAAAGCACCCGUUCGACGAGCUAAUUGUAGUCGGCUAAUCAUUAGGUUAUUGCGAUGCUGGUGCCCGAAAUCAAUUGUAAACGACUUUGGUAACAGGCAGGGUGUUGUAAAUGGUAGAGCAGCUGCCAUACUGCGAUCCACUGAAACUUAUCCCUCGCU
rnacentral:rRNA from 1 species